UGCUACUUGGGAAGAAGGCCUAGUCGUGGCCGUUGUCCGAAUAGAGGGGUAAUUUCAAUUUUGAGGGCAGGGAAGAGGAAUAUUAUGAAGGAGAUAAGCAAGCAGAAGCGCCUGUAUCACCAGGGACGGAGAUCUGGAUGUCUUUGUUUAGCGUGUGGUGUAGAAUCUCACAAGUCAAUAGCGGUGUCUGCGGAUGCUUGGGAUGGAUGCCCAGGGCGGACUACAGAGAGUCUCAGAGCCGAGGCGAGAGCUCAGCGAAAAGUACUGGAGAGGAAAAGAGGGCCAGAGACGUGUAACUUGGUCGUGGAAAACGAAAUAGACAUUGGAGCCUUUGUUCUGAUUCCAGCUACCAUGCUCUGAAGAUGCCCAGACUUUCCUGAGGAGAGGCCCACAAAGAGAGGAAUCAGAGUUAGCACCAACUUGCCAGCCAGUGAGUGCACCAUCUUGGAAGUGGGUGUUCCAAUCCCAAUCAAGUCACCCCAAGUGAUGCUGCAUGGAGCAAGGACAGACUGUCCCUGCCAAGCCCCAACAAAAUUGUGAAUCUGUGAGCAAAAUAAAUUAUUUUCUUGUUUUAA